UGAGAGAAGCCAGGAAACCCAACU
rnacentral:piRNA from 1 species